GCAUCUCCAUUCUUACCCGUCGGACCACCUUUCUCAAUCUAUGGCACACAUUAUAUUGUAUAUGUGCUUGAUUGUCAUCGAGCAUCGUCGAUAGAAUAUUUAUUGGGAAUGGGUUGUUAUUUGACAUCUCAGACGCCCACUACAAGAAAAAAGGAAUAUAGUGGCGGCCAACUAGCUGCAGUUGGCUAAUAUCCGUCGCCGCUUUCAACAUUCACCGCAGUUCAAACCGGCAGUUCAAACCGCCCCUGUUUGCUUUUAAGAAAACAUAAAUCUGAAUCACGUUUCCCUCUCAACGCAGGUUUUAGGGAUUUAGCACUUCCUUGCCAUCCGCCGCUUUUCCGGUCGUAGCUCCGAUUACUCUCUCUCAACACAGGAGGAGUUAGAAUUAGAAACACAUCGCAAAGAAAAUUCUUCUCUGACUGAUGCUGCAUACACAACAGUUUUUGGAAAAGAACAUCCAGGACGUGUUCUAGGCGUGGGCGUUCUUGUAUCCUUGAAUUCGAUGGAGCAUAUAGUGGAAAUCCUGGAAGGUCUGGAGCAGGAGUUGUGCUGCGUGAUGGGAACCAGGUUCAGCGCUUCAGUCAAGGACUGGGCACUCAGACAAAUAAUUCUGCUGAAUAUCAAGGUUUAAUUUUGUGAUUGAAAGAAGUAGCCAACCAAGGAUAUGAUCGUGUUUAUGUUCGAGGUGACUCUCAGCUUGUUUGCAACCAGUUUGAGGGUUCCUGGAAAGUGAACAACCAGAAUUUAAGUGGCAUGUGUAAUGAGGCUCAGCAGCUGAGGGAUAACUUUAUUCAAAUUGUGUUUUAAUUGGCACAUCUGUCUACUACUAAAGAUCACUAGCAUAUAUCUUUAUUGAAAAUCAUAUAUGAUUCAAAUGUUUGAAUGGUCAAAACCUGUAUGAUUUGAAAUUAAAAAUACUAGUUCCACUACUUUGAAUAGAAAAUCACUAGCAUCAAUGGCAUUAGUCCAUAUAAUUUUACCUCCUUGUUUCAUGAUUUUAACAAAUGUCUGUUUUUUAAUGUUUUAAGGGCCAUAACACUGAAGCUGAUGCUCAAGCAAGUCGGGGUAAAUAUCUCAGAGGUGGUACGAGAGUUUACUUGGUGUUUUCCUUUUCCUAUGUCUCGAUGUUACUUGUUUGAUUAAGAGCAUUAUAGAGACUUUGGUGAAGAUGUAAGGUUCAUGGAUUUAUGUGUCAAAAGGGUACAGGUAGUGUUUUUGUUCGUGGCAGGUCUGCAGUGGGGGUGGUGGUUUGUUGUUCUGUUUUGGCGCUCAAGCUGUUCUUUAUUUGCCUUUCCUUUUGGUCCUACCUGAUGGUGUUAUGUUUUUUUUUUCUUUCUUCUUUCUAUUUGUUGUUUGUAGUCUGUGUUGUUAAAAGGGCCUAUUGUUCUAGGAGGACUUUUUCUUAAUUUUGUUUUUUUGUUUCGGAUGAUAGUUCUGGUUCCUGCAUUUUUAUGUAGGUUGUAUCUUUACUCUCCAAUGUGUAAUCCUUGUACAUAUAGAUGAGUUAUUUUAAUAAUGGGAAAGUAAGACUCAUUUAGUUGGUG